rnacentral:lncRNA from 1 species
UCAAAGAAAUUAAUGAAUUUCGAUACUUGAAAACAAGGCAUUUGGAUUCCUCUCAAUUUCUCAAUCAUUUUACAAAUGGUUCUAUGAACAUAGACCUGUGCCAGGGCCUGUUAAGAUGCAACCCCCUCUCAAAACAGCAAUGCAUACAACUAUUGCAGAUCUUAAAUUGGACCUCAUAAUGCCACACCAUAUCUGUCAAGGCCAUAAGAAAAUAUUGUCCAAUAACUUCUCCCUAAAGAAAACAAAAUUCAGUUACAUGCACUUCAAAUUGCAUACUAAACCCAUGUACCAGCGGAUCACAAAAUUCAAGUAUGAAAUGAAAUUCACAAACAAUACCAGUACCAGUGGUUUGCAAGUUGAUGACUACAAAAACAGAUAUUGCAUCUGUUCUUACAUGACUAAACAAUACCAAUAGCAAUACCAGUGGUAUGUAAGUCGAUGACUUCCAAAACAGAUAUUGCAUGCAUCUGUUCUAACAUGACUGAACCAGCAUCUGCUUACAAGUGCGAAUAACCAAAUGUUUUCUUCCAUUCAAUUAUAGAUAAUGGAGGCUAGCAGCAAGUAUUCAAUGGUGAUAGGACCACCGUGGAUUUCUGACCCUCGUCUAUAAUAGUGGGCAUACCAGUUACAACACACCAAAAGCCCAAGAACGAUAGAGGCGGCAAGAAAUAUACCAACAACUUGACCAUGACCAUGAACUUGAUAAUCCAUACUGAGUUACAUCUUAGGCUGCACCCCCCAGUCUAUCAGAAGUUUCUUUCCACAUUCAAAGUUGUCAAUCAAAUUCCAGGUAGACUAGGAAGCGCUACAUCUUCACCAUCUAUACAACUUGAAAGGAGAGACAAAUAGAAAUCCCAAUUUCUGGAUAUUGAACUCAAGAACUGGUUGAGGUAAAGAUAUCUUAAAUUCAAUGGAAUAAAAAUGCUUGCUACAGAAUAUACCAAACUUCGCUAAAGACAACCAAAACUCCUCUCAUGCUAUCAAAGCAGAAUCUGCAACUUCAAAGUAUAUUGACAACACCGUCAUGAAUAAACCUGGACAAACAAAUGACACUGCAAUUGUGCUCAAAACAUAACCAUUACAAAUGAUCAGGAUGAGAAACCUCUACGUCUGUUUCGAUUUCUUGGUGAUCAGUAGCAUGCAACUAGUAUGAAUUAGUAAUGCAGAAAUUCAGGCUUGAAAACAUUCAUCCGAGUUCAACCCCCAGCUCUUCCUGAAAUUGAAUGCCAUAAUUUAAAAAACUAUAGUGCUGUACAAAGAAAACCAGGCACAACCACACGAGCGAGGAACUCCUUCGAAAUCAUGUAGACCACAAUACCAGGUAACAAAAUGACCAGAGAUUCUUGAAUUCAAGCUCCCUAAAUGGAAACCAGUUAUGCAACAUCACAUUCAACAUGUGCAAAAUCAAUCAGGAUUAUGGUGAACCAUAAAUUGAAAUUCUUCUUUGCAUCUCCUAAUUCUGAUAAUUCACCCCGUCAGUCUACAGCAAUAACAUCAAACAGCAACAGAGAGAAUUUUGACAGAUGAAGAAGCUAAUUGACGUCAGAAUUUUCCAAAAACUUGUACUGGACCCUGGAGAACAUGACAAACCAAUUAUUUCUAUGCACCCUGAAGAACAUGACAAACCAAAUAUUUCCAUGCACCCUUUAUUCUUUCAAAUACUUUAUGAACUCAAUAGUAAAAAUGCUGAAAACACAGCAUAGUUGGACGACCAUCAUGAGUAAUUCAGAAUUCAUCCAUCAAAAGCUAAAAAAUUGAAGAAAUAUAUGUGAACCAUCAUCCCACCGUGCUAUUCAAUUCCAUAAGGCCUAUAACAUUUAUCUUGAACCUGUUACUUAAGAACCAAACCAUGACCAAAACUCCUAAAUCCAAUCUGCAGAAUUAAACAGAUUAUAAAGCAUGACUAAUGCAUCAGUGAUGUUUUCAACAAACACAAUAACAGGAUGGCAUCAAGAGAUUCCAUGAUUCAAACCACAAUAUCGUGGAUAUCUGAAUAACAUAAUCAUCCAAGAGACCCCUAUUUCUUCACAAUCCUCUCGCUAGGACUAGAGUUGUGCAAGGGAGUACCAGGACAUCAGAACCCAACUUAAAACUCGACACCAAGAUGAAAACCAAUAUCAGAGCUGUCCAUUAAUCCCAACCAUCCAGAAAUUUAGGUUAUAUACAUACCAUCAAAACUAAUUAAUAUACCAAGCAUAAUGUUAAUUCUUUUCAGAUCAUGAUGAAUCAUCAAAACACCAGGAACCGCCAAUACAUGCAUGUUCAAUCGCAGAAUUAGAUAGUUUACAAGAAAACAAUCCCCAAAAAGAAAGGGCCUGGGAUUAAGCUAAUCAGAAAUUAAUAGAGAAGCAAAAUAGGUGCAAGUGAAUUAAAUGGGCAGGUCACAGCACAAUUAACAGUUGGGAUUAAGCAGUGAUACGCAAAUCACUGCUCUCUUAAAUGAGGAUCAGGAACAUGGGCUUCCAAGUGAUUACUGCCAAAAUGAUUGAUGCAUAAGGUAUUUCCAUAAACAUAGUGGACUGCAGAAGGAAGGGAUCAUGAAAAUUUUAAAUUAUAUAAUAGACACCAGAAGUACCAAAGCCCGUAUGGGCUUCCGAGUGAUUACUGCCAGAAUGAUUGAUGCAUAAGGUAUUUCCAUAAACAUAGUGGACUACGGAAGGAAGGGAUCAUGAAAAUUUUAAAUUAAAUUUAAAUUAUAUAAUAGACAUCAGAAGUACCAAAGCCCGUAACAUCCCCAAGCAGAAAGGAAUGGUAAGAGUAGACGAACACCCUCCAAAACAAUGUACUAGCCUUUGAUCUGACAAUAGAGACCUUAAGUCUUCGCCACACCUCCAAGUCACUGGAAGCCUAGACUCGCAAAAAAUAAUAUAGUAAAUUAAAGAACAGAGAGAAAAUCAUUUUUCAAGAAAAUGAAAAAAAAAAUAGAAAAAAAAAGGUUGGGAAAGAGAAAAGCUCAUCCAAAAUCUUAUCACAAAACCAAAUAGCAGGGAUCCCAAACAUGGCCAAUAGUCCCCGUUCAAGCUUCCCUAAAAUCAAGACAACAGAUAGAAACCGUCACCAAAUACCCCCAGUGAAUUUUCCAGGAAAGAGAACAAAGACCACGUUGGCAAGAAAAACUCCCAAUUUAAUUCAAAUCCAUCCAAAUGAAAGCUCUUCUACCCUCCGCAAACCAGAAGUCCACUAUUCCUGAAAGACGACAUCAAAAGAACCAGAACCAGAGGAAACGAAAUCUUGAAACAUCACCAAGAUCGGAACAAACAGUAAAGCAACUGCCUAUAGCAAUGCAACAAUGAUGCAGAAAGCAAAACUCCAGAUUACAGAUUACAUUCACAUCCAUCCAAUAAUUUUUAAGAAUCAUCACCUCAAAAGCCCAUAUUCAGUCACCACCCUCAGUAGAAUUCUGCAAGUGAGUGAAAACAUGAAUAGCCAACAAAGACUUGAACUUGGCACAAAGAUGAAAUAAAAAUUGUAGAUCAUCUAGAAUAUUAUCAGAACUGACAAAUGUAGCAUUCAAUCUUCUUCAGACCAUGAUGAAUCAGCACCACCAAAAACACUACCUAUAGAGACAUGUUAGAUGACAGAAUUUAAUUCCCGUUAGAUACCAAGCACCGCAGAGCCAUCCCCAAAGAGAAGUCCUGGACUAAGCUAAUCCAUCAAAAUACGAAACACAAGAAAAGAACAAUAGGGUACAAUAACAUAGGUGAAUUGAAUGGACAGAAGACAAUUCAUAGAUGGUUUAGAAAAAAAAAAGUUGAGAAUAAGCAGAGCUAUACACUUGGUUAUACCUCAAUCUAUUUCUCAUGGAUCAGGAAAGUCAACUCUGCAGGGAUUACCACCAGACCAAAUAAUGGAGACAGAAUAAGAAAAGAUUAACAGAAAAAUUAUAUAGUGUCAAAACCCCUAAAUUCCUCGUGCACAAAAGAUAAAUUAGUAUAGGUGAGAAAAUAACUCCCUCCAAAUAAGUUUACUAGCCCUUGAUCCGAGAAUAGAGAGGUAAGUUGAACCACCUUCACUGAAGCCCUAGUAAUAUAGGAAAUUAUAAGACAGAGCAGAUCUACCAUCCAGAGAUCUCUCAAUCAAUUUCAAGGAAACAACAGAAAACAAGUAGGGAAAGGGAGAGCUCCUCCAAAAUCUUUUCGCCCAGAAUAGCACAGUAACAAACAUGAUAACAAUGCUUUGAUCCAAGCUAUCCUAAAAUGAAGACAAGAGAGAAGCCAUUACCAACAAACACCAGUGAUCUCAAGGCAAACAGAACAAACAAGAGAACUCCGAUUUACCACAUCCAUCCAAGAGAAGAGAGCACUUUUUGCCCAUACAGAACUCCAGCAUUCUAAGACAACCACACCAAAAGAACCAGAAAAGAAGAGACAAUCUUGGAAAAAGAAAAGAACGAGUACCAUUCACGAAGUAUUCAACAUACUGCAAAAGUGCAAGAAAGUGCAGGCCUUCAUGAUCAAUUCUUAAUCAACACCACAGAGAAACUUCUGGAAGCCCAGAGCCACCACCUACAGCAACACCACCUAAAGCAACAACAAAACACCACCUGGAGGUCCAGGUAAAAGCUCCAGAUUUUACAUUACAUUCAGACCCAUCCAAUUUAUUCACGAAGAGACACAUCCCAGAGACCUCCCUUUGACUGCGGAAAGCAACACAAAAAGCCAACAAAAAUUCAAAAUUUGACACAGAUGAGAACUGACAAUGGAAUGAACAAAUAACACCAGCUUUUUACAAAUUUAGAUUACCUACCAUAACCCCAAACCUAUUCAUAUAACAAGCAUAAACUUCAGAUCAUGAUGAACCACCAAAACACCAGAACCUACCUUAAAACAUGUUUAGUGGCAGAAUUUGAGCACUAAGAAAUACUUCAGAAGAUCAAAAUCGCCAAACUGGUAAGAUCCUAAGCAUCUGAGAACCAUUCCCCAGACAUAAAUAAGGCAUGGGAUAAGCAGCAAAAUGGGUGCAUGUGAAUUGAAUGGGCAGGUCGAAGGUGUCCAACCAUUAAUCGCUGGGAUUAAGCAGUGAUACCUUUUCCUUGAGGAUCAGGAACACAAGACUUCCAAGCAAUUACUGACAAAACAAGUAAUGCAUAACAUUUCUACAAACAUGGUGGACUAUGGAAGAAAAGAUUUACAAAAAAACUAGAUUAUAUUUAUAAUAGUCUGCAGACAUCAAAAAGUACUAAAACCUGUAAAAUGCUCAAGCAAAAAAAAUAAAAUGAUAAGCAUAGAUAAGAAGAUAAAUCCCCCUCUAUAAUAAUGUACUAGCCUUUGAUCUUGAGGACAGAGACCUAAGUUUUGGCCACACCUCUGAAUCACCAGAAUCCUAGAUUCCACACAAAAUGAUAUAGUAAAUUAGAGAACAAGUAGAGAAAAUCAUUUUUAAAGAAACAGCAAAAAAAAAGAGCAGGGAAAGAGAAAGCUUAUCCAAAAUCUUGUUACAAAACCCGUUAGCAGGGUACCAAACACACCAACACUCCUACAACAAGCUUCCCUAAAAUCAACACAACAGACAGAAGGCAUCACCAACCGCCACCUUGAUUUUUUCAGGCAGAGGGAACAAAGAAAGACCAGGUUGAAAAGAAAUCUCCCGAUUUUAUUCACAUCCAUCCAAGAGAGAACUCCUCUCGCCUCCACACACCAGAAAUCCACUAUUCUUGAAAGACAUCAAAAAAACCAGAAGACAAGACAAAUCUUGAAAAAUCACCAAGAACAAAACACAGUAAUUAGCGUCAAGUCCUUUUACCAAUCCACUCUAUAGGGAGACUGCUGAAAAACCAGAACUGCUGCCUACAGCAAUGCAAAAAUAAAGCAGAAAGCAAAAUCAAGGAUCACAUUCACAUCCAUUGCAUAAUUCCACGAAGAAUCACAUCCCAUAAUUCUAAAAAAAUGGCAUCCAAAAGCCCAUGUUCCAUCACCACCCUCAAUAAAGGAAUGGAUCAAAAGACUUGGCACAAAGCCAAGAAUAAUCCUCAAAUAAAAACUCUGAACAAUUUACCAUUCAAUCAAACCAAUAUGCAUAGCCUUAACUCUUCUUCAGAUCAAGCUGCAUAAGCAAAAUACCAGGACCCCCACCCAUACAAAAGUUUGAUGACGGAAUCUACUUCCUGUUAUAUACUGAGCAGCACAUAACCAUCCCCAAAGAAAAGCACUGGAUUAAGCUAGUCCAUCAAAUCCAAAAGCCAAAAAAAAAUGCUAACCUUAGGUGAAUUGAAUGGGUAGGUUGAAAGCAUUCACACAGUUUUUCCAGAAAUAAACGGUUGAAUAGCAAAGUUAUGCACUUGGUUACAACCCGUUCUAUUCAGAGUGGAUCAGGAAAGUUGACUCUGCAUGACAUGCUGCAGACCAAAAAGAUUCACGGACAAAUUAUAUUAUAAAUAUGGUGUCCAACCCCCUAAAUUCCUCAAGCACAAAAGAACAAUUAGCGUAGGUGAGAAAUUAACUCCCUCCAAAAAAUUUUACAAGCCCUUGAUCUGAGGAUGGAAAGGCAAGUUUGAAUCACAAAUCACUGGAACCCAAAGUUGCAACACCCUAGUAAUAUAGGAAAUUAGAGAACAAGCAGAGCAAAUCCACAAAUGUCCUAAUCAACUUCAACAAAACAGCAGAAAACAAGCAGGGAAAUAGAGGUCCUCCAAAAUCUUGUUAAGCCCGAAUAGCAGGGUAACAAACAUGAUGAAAAUGCUCCGAUCCAAACUUCCCUAAAAUGAAGAUAAUAGUUAAGCCAUUACCAACGUGCGCCAGUGAUUUUUAGGCAAAGAACACAAACAAAGAAUUGAUUGGCAGAAGAGAACUCCCAAUUUAUCACCUUCAUCCAUCCAAGAAGAGUUCUUUUUGCUUCUAUCCAUCCAGGAAGAGCUCUUUUCACUUUCAUACACAGAACUCCAUCAUUCUAAGAUCACAUCAAAAGAACCAGAAUUUAAAAGCUAAGAAAUACUUGACAACAUCAAUAUUACCAUAUUGAUACGAUCCUAAGCAUCUGAGAACCAUUCCCAAAGACAGAAGGCAGGGAACCAAAAUAAAUUCAAAAGCCUAAAGAGAACAAAUGGGCAAAACGCAGCAGCAGGAGCAAACCAGGUGGAGGCAAAAUUGAAUGGAGAGGUUGGAAGCUAUUUCAAUGGUGUUUGUCCUGGGAAGAAAAGGUCUGCAGAUAUCAAAAGGUGACAAAAGCACAAGAUUGUUUGGAAGAAUAUAACUCCCUCCAAAACAGUUUACCAUCCGAGGAAGGAAGGCUCAGUUGUCACUACAACUCCGAAUCACUGAAACCCUAUAUUGCACAACACAAAUGCAGGAGAUCAGAAAACGAACUCGCUGUCUCACAGAGCAAAUCAGCAUCAAACAGCUGAAAACAAUCAAAGACAGAGAAAACUUCAGGAAUCUUGCAAACCAGUAUAGCAGCGUAAAAAACAUGACCAGAGCCUCCUGCAUCCAAGCUCCCCUAAAUCAAUACAACAGAUAAGGCCAGUUGCUAAUUGACUCCCCAGUUAAUUUUUUCAGGAAAUAAAAAAGGAAACCAAAAAAAAGGGACGAGGGAAAAACUCCCGGUGUCGUAGUAUGAUAUUCGCAUCCAGAAAGUCUUUUUUUAGCCCCACCGAAGACUAGGAUUCUGCCACGCCACAACGAGAACAUCAAAAGAACCAAGGAAAAAAAGACGAAUCUUGAUAACAAAGAACGAUCGAGAAAUUACUAAUUAACAAACCCAAUAAUAGUAAAAACUCAAUCUUCCUCAUCAAUCCUGGAUAGACAACACGCCAAAACUACCGAAAGUCCAGAGCACCGCCUACAGCAAUCACAACAACAAUAACAGCCACAGAUUAAAUAAAAACUCCAGAUUCAGAUUACGCUCACAUCCAUCCAACAGAAAGUUGCUUCCUACUCCAUCCGCCCGAAAUCCAUCAUUCUACAAGAAGCACGGCAAGAAAACCAGAAAGAAGAACCAAAACGGGGCUAUUUUUGAACCAAAACAGGGCUAAUUUUGAAGGAAAUUUGAUGUCAAAUUUGUCCGAUAAUUGGAAUGAUCCAGAAAUUACCACGUAAACAAACCGAAUCUAGUGCAAAAACUGGUAUCCUUCCCGUUCAAUCCUUCGAAAUACCCGAUCAACCGCCAAAAAAAAACCAUGAUUAAAUCUCAAAAGUCGCUAUAAAAAAAAUUAGCGAUAAUAAGCUUCAAAUUAAUCAAAUCAUCACAACCAUAGAAGCAACGAUCGAACCUAGCGAUAAUCAUCAACCGAAGAUCGUAACCUUCAGCUGAGACAAAAAACCACAACAAUUGAAUCUCAUUUAGCGAAAGCCUAACCGUAGAAUCCCAAGAAAACCCACGAUGAAGUUAAAAGCAGAUGAUUUCUUACCACACAACGAAACGGAAGCAAAAGGCCACUGGAAAGGAAAGCGGGGAUUGGGGGUAUUUAU